rnacentral:lncRNA from 1 species
AGAGGAUCAGCCUGAGCAAAGGGCAAGUGGUGGAAGAGCCGUGGCUCUGGGCCCUUCGGUGGCUGUUGGUUGUGGACGAGCUUAUGGGUAUCUGGGAACACCCUGACUCUGUCCCAGUUUUCUCUCCCUUUGGAGUUCCUGGGGUGGGUUAUGAUCUGCUGCAAUGCUUUUCCUGGUCUUCGUUCCCUGCUUAUGUUUGUUCUGAAAGCUUGCCCAUCCUUGCCAGUGGAUUUGCCAUGUCUAAACAACAGGACAGAAGAAGAGACUCUGAAAUGGUGCUAAUCAGGGCAUUUUACAGACAGGAGUCAGUAAAAUUAUUUGAAUGUAUUCAAUCUGCUGAAGCUGAAGCUCCGAUACUUUGGCCACCUGAUUUGAAGAGCUGACUUACUAGAAAAGACCUGACUCAUUGGAAAAGACCCUGAUGCUGGGAAAGAUUGAAGACGAAAGAAGUAGGCUGCAGAAGAUGAGAUGGUUGGAUGGCAUCACUGACUCAGUGGACAUGAAUCUGAGCAAACUCCUGGAGACAGUGAAGAACAGGAAAGCCUGGCAUGCUGAUACCCAUAGGGUCGCAAAGAGUUGGACCUGACUGAACAACAAUAACAAAUUCAGUCUGCCAUCAUAACCUUUAUAUAGGUACUUUAUUAUGUUCUUCUUAAGGCUAUUUUUUAUAAUGAUUUUAUCUUGGUUUAUCAUUAUAUUAAUAAUAUUAUUUUCUUUAAUCAUUUCACAUAUGCUGAUUUUCUAACUUUUUCACAUUAUAGAAACCCUCAAAUUGCUGAAGUAAGACUUUUUAUCAAGGUGAAACUAUUUUCCUCUGUGGUUUGUAUUUUUUUUUUUUGACUGUGAGCCUUUCUCAUCAUUCAACACACCUCUUCCCCACCCGCAUUCCUGUGGGAAUUGUAUGUCUUGUUCAUGGCAGAAAUGUUGGAUAAUAGUCUGGCAUUUCCAUCUGUAUCUCACCUGCUCCACAUGAAGUUAUGUUAAUUUCCUAGCUUGAGGCUUCUUGCAUUUCAUAAAUCAUGUAAAUUCUGAUUCAGUAUGCUUGUGUUUUGGAGGCAUGGAUCUUAUUUUCUCAUGGUAGAAUUACUUGCAUUCAGAGAGCUUCCUUAUGGGUUGACCAGGCUGCUAGUGCUUCUUGCACUGAGAGGGCUGUUCUUCUAGGCUCCUGGAUAUAGGCAGGGUAGCCUAUAGUUUCAGUUGCUACUUUGUAAGGACUCAAUCUUGUGUCUCAGAUUAACUUUCCCAGAGCAAUGCUGAGGUGAAGAUCCAUGGUAAAGUAAUUUAUUAGCAGGUGUUCCCAGAAAAGAUAGGGGUUUGGAAAAACAAGACUGGAAAAGGAAUUUUGUCAGGCAAGGGCAUAGUAUCAAGCAGAGUCCCAGCCAG